UUAUAAUGUAAAUUAAAAUCUAUAUUAGUAUUAGUUAUGAUCUUGAAAGUAAAAAAAUUUGGCGGUAAUUUAGUCUAUUUAGAGGAAUCUGUUCUGUAAUUGAUAAUCCACGAUUAAAUUUACUUAUUUUAAAGAUUUGUAUAUCGUUGUAUUAGAAUAUUUUAUAAGAAUUAAAUAUUCCAGAUAUUAAUAAAAUAUAAAUUCAAAUCAAGGUGCAGUUUAUAAAUAAGAAGAAAUGGAUUACAUUAGUAAAUAUUGAAUUAUUAAUUUUAAAUUAAUAUGAAAUUGGAUUUAAAAGUAAUUUUAUUUAUUUAAAUAAUAUGAUUUAAGCUCUAGAUUAUGU
rnacentral:rRNA from 1 species